rnacentral:rRNA from 1 species
CACCUCUAGCAUUACAAGUAUUAGAGGCAUUGCCUGCCCAGUGACUAUAGUUAAACGGCCGCGGUAUCCUGACCGUGCAAAGGUAGCAUAAUCAUUUGUUCCUUAAUUAGGGACUAGUAUGAAUGGCUAGACGAGGGAUCAACUGUCUCUUAUUUUCAAUCAGUGAAAUUGACCUUCCAGUGAAGAGGCUGGAAUACAAUAAUAAGACGAGAAGACCCUAUGGAGCUUAAAUUAACAAGCUUAAUUAUUACCUAAAUAUCCUAAUGGAACAAAACAAAAAAUAUAAGCUUAAAAUUUUGGUUGGGGUGACCUCGGAGAACAAAAAAUCCUCCGAAAGAUAUAUAACAUAGACCUACAAGUCAAAGUAACUCAGUUAUCUUAUUGACCCAAAAAUUGAUCAACGGACCAAGUUACCCUAGGGAUAACAGCGCAAUCCUAUUUAAGAGUCCAUAUCGACAAUAGGGUUUACGACCUCGAUGUUGGAUCAGGACAUCCCAAUGGUGCAGAAGCUAUUAAUGGUUCGUUUGUUCAACGAUUAAAGUCCUA